rnacentral:rRNA from 1 species
GACGAACGCUGGCGGCGUGCCUAAUACAUGCAAGUCGAGCGGAAGUUGGAGAGCUUGCUCUUCAACCUUAGCGGCGGACGGGUGAGUAACACGUGGGCAACCUGCCCUGCAGAUCGGGAUAACUCCGGGAAACCGGCGCUAAUACCGAAUAGUUUUCGCCACCUCCUGGUGGCGUACGGAAAGACGGUUUCGGCUGUCACUGCAGCAUGGGCCCGCGGCGCAUUAGCUAGUUGGUGGGGUAACGGCCCACCAAGGCGACGAUGCGUAGCCGACCUGAGAGGGUGAUCGGCCACACUGGGACUGAGACACGGCCCAGACUCCUACGGGAGGCAGCAGUAGGGAAUCUUCCGCAAUGGACGAAAGUCUGACGGAGCAACGCCGCGUGAGUGACGAAGGUUUUCGGAUCGUAAAACUCUGUUGUGAGGGAAGAACAAGUACCACUUAACUACUGGUACCUUGACGGUACCUCACCAGAAAGCCACGGCUAACUACGUGCCAGCCGCCGCAGUAA